rnacentral:rRNA from 1 species
AUGCCGUCGUGGCCGAACAGCAACGGGACGUCGGACGACGAUGACGAGUACAUGAGCGAGUUCAGCAGCAUGCAGAUGGAGUACUUUCAAACUCCUGACACUGUGAUAGACCCUAGUUUCUGUGGGCUUGUGACUGAAUCUGACAGAAGGUGCAUCCUGCACAGGCAGAGGGCGGGCAAGUUUGUGGCAUUUGAAGGCACUGACACUGGCAGGAGAUUCAUAGGAUGUGCUACUGAGGAUGGUGUGAACUGUGGUGUUUUGGAGUGGGUAGAUGCCCCCUGGCCUGUAAUUCUGCAAAGGUGCUUAAGCAAGCUCUGGGAUAUGUAUCAUGAGCAGAACCUUGGUAGAGCCCAGGAUAAUGAGGCUCAUGGGAUAGAGGUUGCAAAACUGCAGAAGGAGCUUGAUUCUCUGGCCAAUCAGUAUAGCCAGCUGGUGGAUGAUGUGUCCAAGUUGUUUGAUUAUCAGGAUGGAAUCAAAUCUCAUGACAUGGAUUGCACAAGCCAGGCAAUCAAUGAACUGAAGGAAAAUAAGAAGCAACUUGAGGAGUAG